rnacentral:rRNA from 1 species
GUAGUCCAUGCCGUAAACGUUGGGCACUAGGUGUGGGGGACAUUCCACGUUUUCCGCGCCGUAGCCAACGCAUUAAGUGCCCCGCCUGGGGAGUACGGCCGCAAGGCUAAAACUCAAAGGAAUUGACGGGGGCCCGCACAAGCGGCGGAGCAUGCGGAUUAAUUCGAUGCAACGCGAAGAACCUUACCAAGGCUUGACAUGGACCGGACCGCCGCAGAAAUGUGGUUUCCCCUUUGGGGCCGGUUCACAGGUGGUGCAUGGUUGUCGUCAGCUCGUGUCGUGAGAUGUUGGGUUAAGUCCCGCAACGAGCGCAACCCUCGUUCUAUGUCGCCAGCGCGUGAUGGCGGGGACUCAUAGGAGACUGCCGGGGUCAACUCGGAGGAAGGUGGGGACGACGUCAAAUCAUCAUGCCCCUUAUGUCUUGGGCUUCACGCAUGCUACAAUGGCCGGUACAAAGGGUUGCGAUACUGUGAGGUGGAGCUAAUCCCAAAAAGCCGGUCUCAGUUCGGAUUGGGGUCUGCAACUCGACCCCAUGAAGUCGGAGUCGCUAGUAAUCGCAGAUCAGCAACGCUGCGGUGAAUA